GAUGAACGCUGGCGGCGUGCCUAAUACAUGCAAGUCGAGCGAACAGACGAGGAGCUUGCUCCUCUGACGUUAGCGGCGGACGGGUGAGUAACACGUGGAUAACCUACCUAUAAGACUGGGAUAACUUCGGGAAACCGGAUCUAAUACCGGAUAAUAUAUUGAACCGCAUGGUUCAAUAGUGAACGACGGUUUUGCUGUCACUUAUAGAUGGAUCCGCGCCGCAUUAGCUAGUUGGUAAGGUAACGGCUUACCAAGGCAACGAUGCGUAGCCGACCUGAGAGGGUGAUCGGCCACACUGGAACUGAGACACGGUCCAGACUCCUACGGGAGGCAGCAGUAGGGAAUCUUCCGCAAUGGGCGAAAGCCUGACGGAGCAACGCCGCGUGGGUGAUGAAGGUCUUCGGAUCGUAAAACUCUGUUAUUAGGGAAGAACGAAUGUGAAAGUAACUAUGCACGUCUUGACGGUACCAAAUCAGGAAGCCACGGCUAACUGCGUG
rnacentral:rRNA from 1 species